rnacentral:tRNA from 1 species
UGCCCCAUGGUGUAAUGGUAGCACACCAGGUUUUGGUUCUGUUUGACUGGGUUCGAAUCCCGGUGGGGCAA